AUUUACUUAAAAUUUAAAGAAUUUGGCGGUAGUUUAGUCUUGUUAGAGGAACCUGUUUUAAUUGAUCGAUAAACCACGUAGGAUCUUGCUUAUUUUGACUUUAGUGGCUUGUAUACCAUCAUUAUCAGAUAAUUUUUAAUAUAAAGAUGAUAAUUAUUGAAAUAAAUUAUAUUAGGUAAAUUAGAUCAAGGUGCAGCUUAUAAAUAAGUUAAAAUGGGUUACAAUAAAAUUUAUUUAUUACAGAAUAAUUUUUUAAAGUAGGGUUAAGAAGGAGGAUUUAAUUGUAAUAUAAAUUUAAUAAGUUUAUAUGAUAAGAGCUCUAAAUUAUGUACACAUCGCC
rnacentral:rRNA from 1 species